AACGCAAACGUCAAAACAGGGGUGACGUGCACUUUGCAUUAUAAGUGUCGAAAUUACCUACUUUUUUUGCGAAACAAUCAGAACAGGGCCCCGAAACAAAGAGUUGCGAGUGAUUUUCCGGAAAUUUCUUUCAUUACUCGGUAUUGUUCCGACCGAUCUCGGCUACUUGGAUGGACCAGUCGUAAAGUAACAUCGAACGACGAUGGUUUACAUCGCGAGAGACGGGAGUGUCCAUGAAACCCAGCCAUGGAGCGUCCAGCGGUUCAUAGGGAUGAUCACCGGAUUCCUCGGUUUGAUUGCUAUGUUUUUCAAAACAAUGUUCAACAUGGAUUCGAACCAACCAUCCAGAGGUCAGGACUCUAGCGGAAUUCAUUGGAGAGGCGGAGGAGGGGGUGGUCCACCUCCCCCCGGAGGACCACGGCGCCGGCCAAUCGGCCGGGUGAUGACCCUCAGCGAUUGUACCGUUCCCGGGGGCGGAUGAGCGCGGUAAAGCGUUCGCCUGGGAAUUGCCCCCACUAAUUCCUGGCGGACGCCGCUGAAAUCCUCAUAGAGUGAUCGUUUGAGCAUCUGAAAGAUGUCGCAAUCUUUUGUAUGACGAGCAUGUUCUAAACCCACGCUAAACCACGGGCGGAUUUGUUCCGAAGAAGAUUCUCGAAUGAUCGCUUGCUUAAAUUUAUGCAGGAGGUGUGAUUUUCAACUUUGUGUUUCGAAUAAGUAAAUUUUUAGUUGAAAAUUACAUAUUCUGCAUAAGUCUGUAUGUACUCUUAAUUAAAUUGUUCAAAUAUCUGUAUAAUUGCUAACGUAAACGUUUAAAUAAAUGGUUGGAGGUAGGAGAUAGGA